CAUACCUAUUCGAAGGGAUAGGGUCGGUUUGGCCGGAUUUCACACAGGUGUUGCAUGGCUGUCGUCAGCUCGUGUCGUGAGAUGUUGGGUUAAGUCCCGCAACGAGCGCAACCCUCAUCCUUAGUUACCAUCAGGUUAUGCUGGGGACUUUAAGGAAACUGCCAGUGAUAAACUGGAGGAAGGUGGGGAUGAUGUCAAGUCAUCAUGGCCCUUAUGGAGUGGGCUACACACGUGCUAUAAUGGUGAUUACAAUGGGCUGCAAGGUCGCAAGGCUGAGCUAAUCCUAAAAAAUCAUCUCAGUUCGGAUUGUUCUCUGCAACUCGAGAGCAUGAAGUUGGAAUCGCUAGUAAUCGUGGAUCAGCAUGCCACGGUGAAUACGUUCUCGGGUCUUGUACACACUGCCCGUCACGCCAUGGGAAUUGGUUUCACUCGAAGCU
rnacentral:rRNA from 1 species